GACGGGGGGGGCAAGUGUUCUUCGGAAUGACUGGGCGUCAAGGGCACGUAGGCGGUGAAUCGGGUUGAAAGCGAAAGUCGCCAAAAAGUGGCGGAAUGCUCUCGAAACCAAUUCACUUGAGUGGGACAGAGGAGAGUGGAAUUUCGUGUGUAGGGGUGAAAUCCGUAGAUCUACGAAGGAAGGCCAAAAGCGAAGGCAGCUCUCUGGGUCCCUACCGACGCUGGGGUGCGAAAGCAUGGGGAGCGAACAGG
rnacentral:rRNA from 1 species